AUAUUCUGCUAUCGGCCGAUACCUAACGAAGUACACGAACAGACGCGUGGAAAACAAACGAAGCUUCCAAGAGGACUGCUGCACUGCGCCACAAAUCGACGCACUCGCUCACACAACGACGUGUCUGAUUGGUCGAAAUGAGAGGACGCCAACAUGGGACGACCAAUCACAGCCAUCGAUAGAAGUUUCAAAGUGCUUCGAAACUUUAAUACUAAUCGUAAGGGAAAGACACGUGCAAGACGGACGAAGCUUUGAAGAGGACUGUUGCACUCUACCACACUCCGCGCAACGCACCCUUUAACGAUGAAUCUGAUUGGUCUAAAUGGGAGGACGCCAUAAUGGAAUGACCAAUCACAGGCAUUGGUAGAAACUUCGAAUUGCUUUGAAACUUUAACAUUAAAAGAAUGGAAAGAUUCGUUGAAAAUUAUCAACGCCAUAUUGAAAUAUGAUCAAAAUUACUUUUUUGACUUUAAAGCACUGAAAUAUAAGA